rnacentral:rRNA from 1 species
GAUGAACGCUGGCGGCGUGCCUAACACAUGCAAGUCGAACGGUCACUUCGUUGAUAGUUGCGGUCGGGUGUGUAACGCGUAGGACUCUACCCUUAGGCAGGGGACACUAACUGUAAACGGUUGUUACUACCCGAUGUGCAGAGAUGUGAAAACUAAUGGGACUAGGGAAAAGCUUGCGUCUGUUUAGCUAGUUGGUGUGGUAAGAGCGCACCAAGGCGACGAUCAGUAGCAGGUUUGAGAGGAGGAGCAGCCACACUGGGUCUGAGACGCAGCCGAGACGCCUACGGGAGGAAGCAGGGGAGAAUGUUCCGCAAAGGGCGAGAGCGUGACGGAGCAACGCCGCGUGAGAGAGGAAUUUCUUGGGAUUGAAAACCUCUUGGCUCAAACAAGGAGUCAGUGACGGUACUUGAGGAAUAAGCAGCGGCUAACUUCGUG